AGGGUGCAGGGCGGAUGCCUUGGCACUAGGAGCCGAUGAAGGACGUGAUAAGCUGCGAUAAGCUUCGGGGAGUUGCACGUAAACUUUGAUCCGAAGAUUUCCGAAUGAGGAAACUCACUUAGAGUAAUGUCUAAGUAUCAUUAAGUGAAUACAUAGCUUAAUGAGGGGAACUCAGGGAACUGAAACAUCUAAGUACCUGAAGGAAGAGAAAGAAAUUCGAUUCCGUAAGUAGCGGCGAGCGAACGCGGAUUAGCCCAAACCAAUAAAGUUUUCUUUAUUGGGGUUGCGGACAUAUCAUAACGAAGAGGUAUCGUAAUUGAAGAGGUUUGGAAAGACCCACCACAGAAGGUAAUAGUCCUGUAUGUUAAACGAGAAGACUUCAGAUAUGAUCCAGAGUACCACGGGACACGUGAAACCCUGUGGGAAGCAGGAGGGACCACCCUCCAAGGCUAAAUACUACCUAGUGACCGAUAGCGUAUAGUACCGUGAGGGAAAGGUGAAAAGAACCCCGGGAGGGGAGUGAAAUAGAACCUGAAACCCUGCACUUACAAGCUGUGGAAGCACAUUUCUUGUGUGACCGCGUACUUUUUGUAGAACGGGCCAACGAGUUACGUUAAGUAGCAAGGUUAAGCACUUAAGGUGCGGAGCCGUAGCGAAAGCGAGUUUUAACUGAGCGUUCAGUUACUUGACGUAGACCCGAAACCGGGCGACCUACCCAUGAGCAGGAUGAAGCGAAAGUAAAAUUUCGUGGAGGUCCGAACCCACGAGCGUUGAAAAGCUCGGGGAUGACUUGUGGGUAGCGGUGAAAUUCCAAUCGAGCCCGGAGAUAGCUGGUUCUCCCCGAAAUAGCUUUAGGGCUAGCCUCAAGGUGAGAGAUACGGAGGUAGAGCACUGAAUGUCCUAGGGGGUAUUGCACCUACCGAAGACUAUCAAACUCCGAAUGCCGUCAUCUUAUACUUGGGAGUCAGACUGUGGGUGAUAAGAUUCAUAGUCGAAAGGGCAACAGCCCAGAUCGUCAGCUAAGGUCCCUAAAUGUAAGUUAAGUGGUAAAGGAUGUGGGAUUGCACAGACAACCAGGAUGUUGGCUUAGAAGCAGCCACUCAUUCAAAGAGUGCGUAAUAGCUCACUGGUCGAGUGAUCCUGCGCCGAAGAUUUCCGGGGCUAAAACUUACUACCGAAGCUACGGCAUCAGUAAUGAUGGGUAGGGGAGCUUCCCAUACGGGUUGAAGCAUGACCGUAAGGACAUGUGGACAGUAUGGGAGUGAGAAUGUUGGCAUGAGUAGCGAGAUGUGGGUGAGAAUCCCACAGGCCGUAAACCCAAGGUUUCCAGGGGAAGGUUCGUCCGCCCUGGGUUAGUCGGGACCUAAGCUGAGGCCGAAAGGCGUAGGUGAUGGACAACAGGUUGAUAUUCCUGUACUACCGAUAACCGUUUGAGAGAAGGGAUGACACAGUAGGAUAAGCUAAGCACACUGUUGGUUAUGUGUGCCCAAGCAUUGAGGCAGUCAAAGUAGGCAAAUCCGCUUUGAUAAUGCUGGGAUGUGAUGGGGAGCGAAAUUUAGUAGCGAAGUAGCUGAUUUCACACUGUCAAGAAAAGUCUCUAUCGAGGUUAAAGGUACCCGUACCGCAAACCGACACAGGUGGGUGAGGAGAGUAUCCUAAGGCCAGCGAGAGAACUGUUGUUAAGGAACUCGGCAAAAUGACCCCGUAACUUAGGGAUAAGGGGUGCCACCAUCAGGUGGCCGCAGAGAAUAGGCCCAAGCGACUGUUUACCAAAAACAUAGGUUUCUGCUAAGUCGCAAGACGAUGUAUAGGAGCUGACGCCUGCCCGGUGCUGGAAGGUUAAGGGGAUCUGUUAGAGCAAUCGAAGCAGUGAACUUAAGCCCCAGUAAACGGCGGCCGUAACUAUAACGGUCCUAAGGUAGCGAAAUUCCUUGUCGGGUAAGUUCCGACCCGCACGAAAGGCGUAACGAUUUGGGCACUGUCUCAACAACAGACUCGGUGAAAUUGUAAUUCCGGUGAAGAUGCCGGAUACCUGCGACAGGACGGAAAGACCCCAUGGAGCUUUACUGUAGCUUGACAUUGGGUCUUGGUACUACAUGUACAGGAUAGGUGGGAGGCUUUGAAACCAGGACGCCAGUUUUGGCGGAGCCAUCCUUGGGAUACCACCCUUGUAGUACUGGGACUCUAACCAUAGGCCAUGAAUCUGGUCUUGGGACACUGUCAGGUGGGCAGUUUGACUGGGGCGGUCGCCUCCCAAAAGGUAACGGAGGCGCUCAAAGGUUCUCUCAGUACGGUCGGAAAUCGUACGUAGAGUGUAAAGGCAAAAGAGAGCUUGAUUGCAAGACAUACAGGUCGAGCAAGGAUGAAAAUCGGACUUAGUGAUCCGGUGGUUCUGCGUGGAAGGGCCAUCGCUCAACGGAUAAAAGCUACCCUGGGGAUAACAGGCUUAUCUCCCCCAAGAGUCCACAUCGACGGGGAGGUUUGGCACCUCGAUGUCGGCUCAUCACAUCCUGGGGCUGUAGUAGGUCCCAAGGGUUGGGCUGUUCGCCCAUUAAAGUGGUACGCGAGCUGGGUUCAGAACGUCGUGAGACAGUUCGGUCCCUA
rnacentral:rRNA from 1 species